rnacentral:tRNA from 1 species
GAACAUAUAGCUCAGUGGUAGAGUGCAAGCUUAGCAUGCACAAGGUCCUGGGUUCAAUCCCCAGUACCUCCU